rnacentral:rRNA from 1 species
UAUUGCACAAUGGGCGCAAGCCUGAUGCAGCCAUGCCGCGUGUGUGGAGAAGGCCUUCGGGUUGUAAAGCACUUUCAGUCAGGAGGAAAGGUUAGUAGUUAAUACCUGCUAGCUGUGACGUUACUGACAGAAGAAGCACCGGCUAACUCCGUGCCAGCAGCCGCGGUAAUACGGAGGGUGCGAGCGUUAAUCGGAAUUACUGGGCGUAAAGCGUACGCAGGCGGUUUGUUAAGCGAGAUGUGAAAGCCCCGGGCUCAACCUGGGAACUGCAUUUCGAACUGGCAAACUAGAAUGUGAUAGAGGGUGGUAGAAUUUCAGGUGUAGCGGUGAAAUGCGUAGAGAUCUGAAGGAAUACCGAUGGCGAAGGCAGCCACCUGGGUCAACACUGACGCUCAUUACGAAG